rnacentral:rRNA from 1 species
GACGAACGCUGGCGGCGUGCCUAAUACAUGCAAGUCGAACGAACUCUGGUAUUGAUUGGUGCUUGCAUCAUGAUUUACAUUUGAGUGAGUGGCGAACUGGUGAGUAACACGUGGGAAACCUGCCCAGAAGCGGGGGAUAACACCUGGAAACAGAUGCUAAUACCGCAUAACAACUUGGACCGCAUGGUCCGAGCUUGAAAGAUGGCUUCGGCUAUCACUUUUGGAUGGUCCCGCGGCGUAUUAGCUAGAUGGUGGGGUAACGGCUCACCAUGGCAAUGAUACGUAGCCGACCUGAGAGGGUAAUCGGCCACAUUGGGACUGAGACACGGCCCAAACUCCUACGGGAGGCAGCAGUAGGGAAUCUUCCACAAUGGACGAAAGUCUGAUGGAGCAACGCCGCGUGAGUGAAGAAGGGUUUCGGCUCGUAAAACUCUGUUGUUAAAGAAGAACAUAUCUGAGAGUAACUGUUCAGGUAUUGACGGUAUUUAACCAGAAAGCCACGGCUAACUACGUGCCAGCAGCCGCGGUAAUACGUAGGUGGCAAGCGUUGUCCGGAUUUAUUGGGCGUAAAGCGAGCGCAGGCGGUUUUUUAAGUCUGAUGUGAAAGCCUUCGGCUCAACCGAAGAAGUGCAUCGGAAACUGGGAAACUUGAGUGCAGAAGAGGACAGUGGAACUCCAUGUGUAGCGGUGAAAUGCGUAGAUAUAUGGAAGAACACCAGUGGCGAAGGCGGCUGUCUGGUCUGUAACUGACGCUGAGGCUCGAAAGUAUGGGUAGCAAACAGGAUUAGAUACCCUGGUAGUCCAUACCGUAAACGAUGAAUGCUAAGUGUUGGAGGGUUCCGCCCUUCAGUGCUGCAGCUAACGCAUUAAGCAUUCCGCCUGGGGAGUACGGCCGCAAGGCUGAAACUCAAAGGAAUUGACGGGGGCCCGCACAAACGGUGGAGCAUGUGGUUUAAUUCGAAGCUACGCGAAGAACCUUACCAGGUCUUGACAUACUAUGCAAAUCUAAGAGAUUAGACGUUCCCUUCGGGGACAUGGAUACAGGUGGUGCAUGGUUGUCGUCAGCUCGUGUCGUGAGAUGUUGGGUUAAGUCCCGCAACGAGCGCAACCCUUAUUAUCAGUUGCCAGCAUUAAGUUGGGCACUCUGGUGAGACUGCCGGUGACAAACCGGAGGAAGGUGGGGAUGACGUCAAAUCAUCAUGCCCCUUAUGACCUGGGCUACACACGUGCUACAAUGGAUGGUACAACGAGUUGCGAACUCGCGAGAGUAAGCUAAUCUCUUAAAGCCAUUCUCAGUUCGGAUUGUAGGCUGCAACUCGCCUACAUGAAGUCGGAAUCGCUAGUAAUCGCGGAUCAGCAUGCCGCGGUGAAUACGUUCCCGGGCCUUGUACACACCGCCCGUCACACCAUGAGAGUUUGUAACACCCAAAGUCGGUGGGGUAACCUUUUAGGAACCAGCCGCCUAAGGUGGGACAGAUGAUUAGGGUG